UUAUUGUAUUUGUUCUGAUUAUUAUUAUUUUUUUUUUUUUUUUUUUUCUUCCGCCAAAUUUUGUUCUUGCGAUAAAUGUUUGUUUCGCAAUAUGUCGCUUAGAUUUUUUUCAUAUUGUAUCGUAUAGUUUAUGCGCUUUUAAAUUUCACCCUGCUAAGCCGAACCAUUUUCUUUGUAAGAGUUAUCUCCCUAUUCACUGUUUGUCAUGUGUGUGCAUCUCCUUCGUAACAAAA
rnacentral:lncRNA from 1 species